AAAUAAUUUGUUUUUGUAAUCUGAAGAACAUUCCUUCAAUCCCUGUUCGUACAAUUAUAGAACAGAAGUGGCAUGAUUGCCAUCUUUUAUGGCGUCAUUUUCAAAAACUGAAGUUUAUGGGUUCGAUCCCAGUCUGUACCUGGUUUAAGAAUUGCUGCUAUCAUUUCCUUGUAGUUUCAAUGGAGUGGUGUAUAUAAAAAGUACAUUGUAUUGAUAUUGCAUUUUAUCUGCAAAUGAAAUGGGAUGGAAGCUCAGAGGGGGAGUGCAUGCAAAAUAUGGAUGAGGUCCUCGGUUCAAUCCCAAGAUUCUCCACUGAGUUUAUUUGUGUGCCAAAUUCACAUUUACACAACUACUACUUUCCUGAAUGUUGAUAUAUAAUUCAGAACGUAGAGUGGCAUGGUGGCCAAGUGGUAAGGCGUUGGUCUUGUAAACCGAAGAUCAUGGGUUCAAAUCCCUUCUGUGCCUUUAUGAAAGACAUCUGAUAUCAUGGACCUGUGCAUUAAUUGGAGGACUUUGCAGAAAAUCAAGUUGUAUCAUUAUGGCAACUCAGCUAUUAUAGUAAGGGGAUGAAUCUCUAUGGUAGAG
rnacentral:tRNA from 1 species